CCUGAGUGUCCCCAGGGCUGACCCAGGUGUCCCCAGAGCUGGCUCGGGUGUCCCCGGGGCUGGUCCGGGUGUCCUCAGGACUAUCCCGGGUGUCCUCAGACUGUCCCGGGUGUCCACGGGGCUGUCCUGGGUGUCCCCGGGGCUGGUCCGGGUGUCCCCAGGACUAUCCCAGGUGUCCUCAGGGCUGUCCUGGGUGUCCCCAGACUGUCCCGGGUGUCCUCAGGACUAUCCCGGGUGUCCCCAGGGCUGGCCCGGUGUCCCCAGGCUCUGGCGGCUCCUCCCGGUCCCGCUGUCCCCGCUCUGCUCCUGCCGCACGCCCGGGGCUCGGUGCCGGGGUCCCGGGGCACAGGGGGGGUCCUGGGGGUCCGUCCCGCCGCACCGGGGGUCCCGGGGCAUGGGGGGGGUCCCGGGGGUCCGCAGGGUCCUGGCGCUGGGGUCACCUGGGGACGGACGGGUCGGAAUCGACGUGGCCGAGGAGGAAGAGCUCGGGGCGGGCGGCGAAGCCCAGGCGGCCCUGGGGAGGGGAAGGCGACAAUUAGUGCCGGGGGUUUAAUUAGCCAGGAUGAGGAGGCCUGAGCGAGUUUAGGGAAUCCCGAACCUAAGGGAGUUUAGGGGAGCCCAAGUUUAAGGGAGUUUAGGGGAGCCCAGAAUGGGUUAAAGAAGCCCAAGUUGGUUUAAAGAAGGCCGAGCCUAAGGGAGUUUUGGGAAGCCCAGGCUGAGCCUAAGGGAGUUUUGGGAAACCUGAGCCUAAGGGAUUUUAGGGAAGUCGAAGUUUAAGGGAUUUUAGGGAAGUUGAAGUUUAAGGGAUUUUAGGGAAGUUGAAGUUUAAGGGAUUUUAGGGAAGUCGAAGUUUAAGGGAUUUUAGGGAAGUUGAAGUUUAAAGGAUUUUAGGGAAGUCCAAGUUGGUUUUAGGAAGCCCAAACUGGUUUAAGUAACCCUGAGCUCAGCCUGGUUUCACCAAGCCCAAACGAAGCCCCGAUAACGAAGAUGGAAUGAAUGAAGGCCGGUUUAACAAAAUUUAACAAACCCCAAACUGAGCCUGGUUUAACAAAACCACAAUUUAACAAACCCCAAACUGAGCCUGGUUUAACAAAACCCCAAUUUAACAAACCCUGAACUGAGCCUGGUUUAACAAAAUCACAAUUUAACAAACCCCGAACUGAGCCUGGUUUAACAAAACCCCAAUUUAACAAACCCCAAACUGAGCCUGGUUUAACAAAAUCACAAUUUAACAAACCCCGAACUGAGCCUGGUUUAACAAAACCACAAUUUAACAAACCCUGAACUGAGCCUGGUUUAACAAAGCCCCAAUUUAACAAACCCUGAACUGAGCCUGGCUUAACAAAGCCCAAACUGGGCCCGGUUUGAUGAAGCUCAAAUUGAGGGCGGUUUAAAGCCUGGAUUAAUUAAGCCUGGUUUAAUGAAAUGUUGAGCCCAAUUUAAUGAGGCUGAGCAGGGCAGGCUGUAAAUGGAACCAGAGCUGAGCCCGGUUUAAGAAGCCCCAGUUGGGCCCAGUUUAACAAAGCCCAGGGUGGAGCUGGCCCCACCUACACCCAUUAAUUAGCAGUGAGCAGCAGGAACGUGUUAAUUGGGAGCGGAUCCCACUGUUAAUUGGGGCAGAUCUCGAUCCAGCCCCACUCUGAACAGCCCCUCCCUCUGCAGCCCCAAUUAACUGCUCCAGCUUAAUUAGCUUCGGGGCAGGGAUGAGCCUUAAUUAGCAGUGACUGCAGCAGAGACGCUGCAAACCCUCUGCAGGGGCAAAAGCAGGAAAAAAAAUGGGAAUUUGGGUUUUUUUUGGUGGGUCUGGCCUGGGCAGGACCUGAUCCCACAGAGGGAAUUCCCAUGGGAAGGAGGGAGAGGGGGACGUGCCCCAGCUCAGCCCGAUGCCAUUCUGAAUUUUCCCUUUUUUUUUCCUCUUUUUAAUGUUCCCUGUAUUCUUUGCAGGUGUAUUUGUGGCCCUGUAGCCUGUUCUAUUAAUAACUACUUUUCCCAGUAUUUUUCCAUGGCCUUUCCCUGGGCAGAAAGACAAAAAUUCCAGAGCUCCAAGGCCCAGGAACAACUCCUGGAGAUUUCAUGGACGGAGCUCAGCCAGUGCUGAGGGGGGACGGGGAGAGAAUUGCAUCACCUGUCCUCCUAAUUGCUAAUUUAUCAAUUAUAUAAUUUCCUAAAACCUACAAAAAUGUCCUCACCCCUUUGGGGCUUUUGUGGGCAUCUUUCCAUAACUGCCCCCGAAGGCCUUGAAGUAAAACCCACUUUUGUUUGAACUCUGAAUUAAAACGAUCUUGAGUUUUAUUCCCAGGUUGGGAAAACAGCACCAGCCCCAAAAAACGACCCAAGAAGCCGAGUUG
ensembl:lncRNA